GCUUUCCCUGGGGAAGAGAUCACAGAUGUGAUGGUAGCCAGCCACAAAGAAGAAAGUUCAAGGGAGCUCUCUCCCUUCCAGGCAGAUACACAGCCUGCUCAUGUGCUGCUCAACAUCUUGGCCAGGCCACCUUCUCCCUUGGUUCCCAAAAAAACUGUGCUUCUCUAUUUAGCAAAAGGUUACAUCCGCAGUAGAUGAUGAAGUUAGCAGUAAGUCAAAUGUGUCCAAGAUCAUUCUGUAGUGCAGAGGACAAAUGGUACAACAACCAGUGUCCAGGCUGCUAAAUACACUUGCCUGUCAGGAAGGAGUUGCCAUAGUCCUUGAACCAUGCUCAGUGCUAGUCAGCCUGGGUCAAUAGAAUACAUAUUUUCUGGUUUUAACAAUCUAAUAUUAUAGACAAGUGAAUUCCAGGCAUGCAGGCAUUUAUUUGCAUUGCCAAAAUUCUAGUAGAUCUGGGAUGGGGAAAAGCAGGUACCAGAGACUUCUAGACCAUGAGGCUUACAGGCAUUCUGGGAGAACCUGAAGCAGAUUUCUGGCAGAAUGCUGGCAGCUAUGAAGCUUGUGGUGAAGCAUGGAGAAGUAUGGCAGCCGGGUUUCCAGCAGUUAUAAAAUGCUUGGGUGUUCCACAAAAGAAAUAGCAGGACUGUCUUGUCACUGCUAUUAAAAAAAUUCUACUACAGAAAAAGAUCUCAGUGCAAUUCACAGGUGAAGAGAAGUUUUCCAUAGAAAACAAAGAAUGCUGUUCGCGGUGAAGCUGGAUUUUUGACCAAAUAUUUCAUACUUCCACUUCUUAAAACACACAUCUCAAUAUCUACUGUAUAGGAAACACAUCAAUGAUGCAUAUUGCAAACAUACUUUCAUACCACGAGCAACAAUGUCUAAAGCUUGCUGGCCUUAAUCAAACAGUACUCUUCAAUAGAAAAUGCAUGAAUGUGCUGCUUCACUCUCCCCAGUUUGUGUCUUUCUUUCUGAUUUAACAUUUCACUGCAUGAAAGAAAUAUUUCAGGAUGCACUGAACCUCAGAAAAAAUAUUUUGUUUGAUCUAACAAUUCUGUUCUUGUGUGUCAGAAAACAAACAAACAAACCUUUAAAUAAACAUCUGCAGUG
rnacentral:lncRNA from 7 species